ACUGUGAAGGAAAUACGAGACACACAACGUGACUUCAACGUGUUGUUCAUCUUAUUCAGGCCUCUCCAGGCAAGUGUUUUCCUGAUCUUGAUAUCAGCAUCUGUUG